rnacentral:lncRNA from 1 species
CCGAGCCUUCAGAGGCACAAAAGCAAUAUUAGGUUUAAACAUGGAAAAAGAAGUUACAUGUCUGUCUCACCUGAGUUGAUGUAUUGAAGUCAUACCUUUUAGAUAUUUCACACUUUUUAAAAGAAAUUACUUCUGUUUUUCACAUUUGCCUUGUGUAAAACUAUUAUAGUCAUCAUGCUGUACUUGAAGUUAAAACCCUCAGGCUAUACGAUUAUAAAGUUAAUAAGUAUUAAAUGGAAACAGGUAAAACCAAUUCAUACUGUUUUAUUCACUAAAACAGUCUUGUGAUAACAAAAUAUAGGGUUGUGGAGUUUUUUUUUGGCGGGGGGGGGGGAGUCAAACUGUUUUUUACAUUCAUAACAUUCCUUUGGUAUAAAUAUAUCUGAGGACCUAUUUUUUCUCGGUCUAUAGAGACCAUUCCUUGUCUUUCUUUACUAAGUUACAGCUUGUCAUGGCAUGCUUUUUUCUUGUUAAAAUAUUUAUUUUUGUUCUAAAGUUGUUGAGGAUAGUAGGAUAUUUAUGCUUUAAAAUACUAGGGUGUACUUGAAAUGAAAUAAAAUGCCUAGAUUCAAGCUCCAAGCUUCAACAAUUAGGUAAUUUUAUUAGUAUUAGGCAAAAAUGAACAACACUUACGUCUACCUUGGGUCAGCUCUAUGUUAAAACAAAAAUGCUACCAUAUUAGCUUGGAUAUAUAGCCCUCCCCAAAAGGAUGGCAAUUAGGACAAUGUGCUAAGUAUAUUAAAGCAACCCACCCGCCAUGAACAAACACAAAAGGUCCAGCAUAUGAACUGUAGUCCCCCGUCAAGGUGUUAUAGGGUUACACAAUUAGAAAAUGCCACUAUCCUUUUUCUACAUUCAACAAGGCCACAAAUAUAUAGAUGAUUCUAUUACUAUUGCUACAAAUGGCAAAUGUCAUCAAUAAACAAGCAAUAAAAAGCAAAGGACUGCCUAACUAGAUGGAGAAAUUAGAGCCAACACCCAUGCAAGAGUAAUGAAGGAAGAGGAAGCUGAUUCUUGGGUUUUGUCUUUAAUAUGUUUUAACUUUAUUUUUAUACUUUUAUCAGCUGAGGUUUUAAAAACCUAUUACUUGAGACUUUAAAAGCCCAAUAUGAAAGUAUUGUCAAGACAGUUGGAAAAAGAAGGUAAAAGCUGACCAGGAGUCAUUUUUCUCAUUUUUAAAAGAAAUAAUUAGAUGAUUGAAUCUUGGAGAUCUUUUUCUAGAUUUUUUUUUUUUUUUUUUUUGAGACAGAGUCUCGCUCUGUCACCCAGACUGGAAUGCAGUGGUGGCACAAUCUCAGCUCACUGCAACCUCCACCUCCUUGGUUCAAGCUAUUCUCCUGCCUCAGCCUCCUGAGUAGCUAGGAUUACAGGUGUGCACCACCACACCCAGCUAAUUUUUAUAUUUUUUUAGUAGAGAUGAGGUUUCACUACAUUGGCCAAGCUGGUCUUGAACUCCUGACCUCAGGUGAUCCGCCCGCUUUGGCCUCCCAAAAUGCUGGGAUCACAGGCGUGAGUCACCAGUCACAAAAUAUCUCAAAUUUUGUGAUUAUUACAUCCCUGGCCUACUGUUACCAUCCCAUAUCUUUCUUCCAUCACGCUCCGUGGUAAAGAAGAGUUUCUGACCCAAAUAUGGAUAAAAUACACUGUGGAAGACUCUUCCUUUUCUACCUAAGAAGCUGAGUGGAUGCUGAAAUAUACACAGUACAUAAGAGAUGCUCUUUUCAACCAUUGUGUGUGGCAUAAUGAGUAACUUCAAAGCCAGUUCUUCUUAAUUUAGGAAAAUAACUCUGGAGACUUCUAAGGUAGAACAGGAUUUUAACUAUCUGAAGAGGCAUGAGUUUAGCAGAAGACAGAAGGAAAUUCCAGGGCAUUAAAUUGUGCAUUCAGCACCAUAAGAAACAGAAUCAGAGGGCCCUGACAGAAUACACAGUGGCAUUCAAAAACAGGUCACAAGGAUCAACUAGUCUGCAACUAUCAUGUAAAGAUGAGAAAACAAAACAAAUCCAAGAAGUUUAUUGCUGACACUAGAAACACACAUUCCUCUAAGAGCAGCAAACUUUCUGUACAGGGUCAGUCAGUACAUAUCUCAGAUGUGGUGAGCCUAGUGAUCUCUGUCACAACUACUCAACUCUGCCAUUGUAACCCCAAAGCAACCAUAAACAACAUGUAAUGAAUGGGUGUUGCUGUGUUUCUAUAAGAUUAUUUGCAAAAUCAGUCUGAGGACCAGAUUCCGCCCACUGGCCAUAUUACACCAACCCUGAACUACAGAAUAUUAUUCUAUGUCUCUGUUCAGUGUUUCACUCAUCACAAAUUAGGGAAAGCAAACUAUUCUCCCAGUAUAAGCAAAGUGGCUUUUGGUGCUUCUCCAGAAUGGCUUGAGAUAGCCCUUUAAAAAAGUAGGUAUAUAUUUUCAGACAGUCAUCUUUGCCACUUACAUGCAGAGACUGCCUGGGAACAAAGAUAAUGUAAAUAAAACACGAACCAGUCCCAAGAUUUUCCCAUUUCUGCUGAGCCAUACCACAACCUUCUCAGUUAUGUGCUUCAUGUACUUUUAGUCAGGUCUCUGUCACUUAUAACCAAGAAUCCUAAACAAUCAGCUAAUCGAAUUUCCACUUACCUGAGAACUACCACUUAGAUUAUUUUACCAGUUAAAUUAUUUACCAUAAUUUCUAUGUUUUAUUUUGACUAUGUUUAAUGCCAAUCCUUCACAAAUUUGUUACAUACUUCUCCGUAGGCUCAAGCAGAGAUUAACAUUUUAAAGUCAUUUAAAGAAUAAUCAGCAUUAUAAAUAAGUAAUAGAAUGAUAUUUUACAUUUGUAUAGAACCUUGAAGUGUAAAAUAUUCCUUUUUUUUUUUUUUUGAGACAGAGUCUCACUCUGUUUCCCAGGCUGGAGUGCAGUAGUGUGAUCAUGGCUCACUGUAGCCUCGACCUCCCAGGCUCAGGUGAUCCUCCUGUCUCAGCUUCCUGAGUAGCUGGGACCACAGGCAUACAUCACCACGCCUAGCUAAUGUUUUUUUCUUUUGUAGUGACAAGGUCUGUGUUGCCCAGCCUGGUCUUGAAUUCCUGGGCUCAAGCAAUCCGCCCACCUUGGCCUCCCAAAAUGUUGAAAUUACAUGUAUGAGCCACUGCCCAAAAAUGUAAUCAGCCCUAAAAUAGUCUUUAAUUAUAAAAUUAUUUCUUACUACUACAGCAUUGUGAGACAGCCAGGGAGUUAGCCAGGAAGUUAUUACUGUUCCUAUUUUAUAAAGAGAGAUCACUUAAUUCUAGAACUCCCUCAAGGCCUCCCAUAGCUAAUAAAUAAGACUAGAACUUGAGUCUUAAGAAUCUUAGUCUACUGCUGUCUUACCUACACUUCCCUUUUCUGUGUGGACAACAAAGUAUUCUUCUGUGUCUUUUUUUUUUUUUUUGGUCAUUUCCUUUUUAUCUGUCAGGCAGCCAGCUCUGACUUACUCUCUGUUUCUGUCAUCUCUCCCCCACAUACCAACUUCUUCACCAUGAUGAUUAUACCAAUAAUACAGUUCCUUAUAUGAGGGGCUCUGGAAAAUUAGACAGUGAAGCAUGUUGCAGAUUACAUGUUAAACAGGUCUAAUUCACAAUGAAUGACAACUUGAGACAAUAUGAGACAGUUUUCAGACAACAGUUUUGUGGCAGGUAGGGGACUCCUUUCUCUGCAUACUCUUCUUGGCUGAGGUUGUGUUGCACUGGCUGAGGUUGCUGAAACAGUGGCCCAUGGAUGGAGAUGUAGAAUCUGCA